UACGGGGGGGGCAAGCGUUGUUCGGAAUUACUGGGCGUAAAGGGCUCGUAGGCGGCCAACUAAGUCGGACGUGAAAUCCCUCGGCUUAACCGGGGAACUGCGUCCGAUACUGGCGGGCUUGAGUUUGGGAGAGGGAUGCGGAAUUCCAGGUGUAGCGGUGAAAUGCGUAGAGAUGUGGAGGAACACCAGUGGCGAAGGCGGCUCACUGGCCCGGUACUGACGCUGAGGUGCGAAAGCGUGGGGAGCAAACAGG
rnacentral:rRNA from 1 species